rnacentral:rRNA from 2 species
GGAUCCAGACUUUGAUUAUGGCUCAGGAUGAACGCUAGCUACAGGCUUAACACAUGCAAGUCGAGGGGAAACGAUAUUGGAAGCUUGCUUCCGAUAGGCGUCGACCGGCGCACGGGUGAGUAACGCGUAUCCAACCUGCCCAUCACUUGGGAAUAACCUUGCGAAAGUAAGACUAAUACCCAAUGACAUUUAUAGAAGGCAUCCGAAAUGAAUUAAAGAUUUAUCGGUGAUGGAUGGGGAUGCGUCUGAUUAGCUUGUUGGCGGGGUAACGGCCCACCAAGGCGACGAUCAGUAGGGGUUCUGAGAGGAAGGUCCCCCACAUUGGAACUGAGACACGGUCCAAACUCCUACGGGAGGCAGCAGUGAGGAAUAUUGGUCAAUGGGCGAGAGCCUGAACCAGCCAAGUAGCGUGCAGGAUGACGGCCCUAUGGGUUGUAAACUGCUUUUAUAGGGGAAUAAAGUGAGCCACGUGUGGUUUUUUGCAUGUACCCUAUGAAUAAGGACCGGCUAAUUCCGUGCCAGCAGCCGCGGUAAUACGGAAGGUCCGGGCGUUAUCCGGAUUUAUUGGGUUUAAAGGGAGCGUAGGCCGGAGAUUAAGCGUGUUGUGAAAUGUAGAUGCUCAACAUCUGAACUGCAGCGCGAACUGGUUUCCUUGAGUACGCAUAAAGUGGGCGGAAUUCGUGGUGUAGCGGUGAAAUGCUUAGAUAUCACGAAGAACUCCGAUUGCGAAGGCAGCUCACUGGGGCGCAACUGACGCUGAAGCUCGAAAGCGCGGGUAUCGAACAGGAUUAGAUACCCUGGUAGUCCGCGCGGUAAACGAUGGAUGCCCGCUGUUGGGCCAACUGGUUCAGCGGCCAAGCGAAAGCAUUAAGCAUCCCACCUGGGGAGUACGCCGGCAACGGUGCAACUCAAAGGAAUUGACGG